CUCAUCUUCGUCUUCCUCCUCGUCCUUCUUCUGCU
rnacentral:sRNA from 1 species